AACAUAUAAUUUUAAAAAUUAAACUUAUAAUUUAAAAUUUAAAAUUCUAAAAUUUAUAUUUUAAAUUUUAAAUUCUAAAAUUAUUAAUUUUAAAAUUUUAAAAUUUUAAAAUUAUUUUAAAUUUUAAAUUUCAAAUUUAAAACUAUUAAUUUUGAAACUUAAAAUUUCAUAUUUCAAAAUUAAAAAUUUAAAUUUAGUAUCUAAUUUUAAAAUUUUAAAAUUUUAAAAUUUUAAAAUAGAAGACUUAAAAUAUAAAAAAUUAAAAUAUACAUAACUAAUAGUCGCUAGCGCAAGUGGCAAAGGACUUGGUUGUUGGUACUCGAGGUCUCAAGUUCGAAUCCUAGUUGAUUCACAUUUCCAGCAAAGUUUAAGACAAAAAGAAAUAAAUGAAGCGGGUAGCAUCUCAAAAAAAUUAAAUAUAAAAUUAAAAUUUUAAAAUUUUAAUUUCUAAAAUCAGAUAUUUGUAUUAGCGGCAUUAUAUUUGUGUGCCACUAAUAAAUAAUUUAAAAUUAGCAUUUAAUCUCUUUUAGCGGCAUAUUCCUAAUGACACUAAUUGAUUUAUAUUGGCGGCAUUUAUAAUUAAUGCUGCUAAUACUUUUAGCAACAUUGGCAUAGGCAGCAUUUGGUGUCAUAUGCUGCUAAAACUUUUAGCAGCAUUUGUUGAUCAUUUAGCAGCAUAAAUAAAUGCCACUAAUGACUAAUUUUCUAGUAGUGUAUGCAAUUUGGAUUUGUACAACCGAUCCCUACUCCAGCCAAAUUCUUUAUGGCCAACAUA
rnacentral:lncRNA from 1 species